AAUCAGCCGCCCCCUAUCUCUAGAUGCUCUCUCUCUCCUCUCUCUCUAUAUUCUCUUUAAAAACCUUACAACCGUUGCCUCUCCUUUUUUGGUGAGCCCACGCCGGUGACACCUUCCCUGAGUCUGCCACUGCACCAGCCAUGGUGCCUUCACCAACAAUGGACAGAACCCAACCUCACUGCCUCACCUCUUUCUCCGGCAAAACCACCGCCAGCAGCCCUCAAAACUAUUGAAACUCGCCUCCAAUAGCAAUGACUAGCGACGACCUACCUCUGUCCUUCCAGAUCUGCUAUCGCCAUCAACAACCCUCUCUGCCUCCAUGCAACUAGCCUCCUAUCGCUGAUCGGAGCUACCACUCCAGCGUCGCCCCCGAUCUUACCCUUCCCUGCAUUGGUAAAACAGCGACGAGCAUCCCCCUCUCUAGCCGUGAUUCAACCCCCUUCUAGUCCAUUCUUCGACCAAACAGCGGCUAGACAGCCAUCCCACUGCACCAUUGUCACCCCCACCUUCUGCCAGUACCACCAAUGACCUCCAUUUGGUUUGUUUUCUAAAAUAUUUCAAGUGGCAUGUUUUCUUAGUUAAAUAAAUUAGUUUUUCAGACAUACAAUGUGUGACACUCUGUUUGAUAUGUUUUAUUACAAAUGCUUUUCUGUGAAAAGAAUCGAAUCCUUAGAUUUUUGGUCCGAUAAACUGUGCAUGUUUGUUGACUGUUUGUUUUUAUCACCUAUCAGACAAAAUUACAACCUUUCUUACUCUAUUUGAUUUCAAACGAUGUGUUCUGUCAAAUAUUAUAGCUUCAGGGCAUCUAUUCGAUCUCGGAUUGUAUGACAGCUUAGUAUUGAAUUAUAUUUGACAUGUUUUGAUUGAUUUUUCUCUAUCCCUUGAUUGAUGUGAUUUUAGUAUUGAAAUUGAUAAAUUAUUUUUGGCAUAUUCGGAUACCUGGUUGGCUUUAACUUGUGGUGUGUAACAUAUUUUUGGCAAGAUAGGAUUCAAUUGUGCAUAAAUAAUUUGACAGCUCUAUGUUGUCAGUUUUGUCAUUUAUGGUGAGUAAGUUUUAUUAUUCUCAUCAAAUAUUCUUAUUGAUGCAUUUUUGGUAAAUUACGUUUGAUUAAUAUGUUUUUUCUUUUAUUUAUUUUUGACUGAUUCUAUUGCUACGUGUUAUCUUUAUAUUUAAGGAAAGUUUUGUUUAUUUGUUACAUCAAAUAUGUUCUUUGUUGAUUGAUAUCUCUCUUCCUUAUUAUGUUUGGACUGAUUUUAAAAUUAAUUGACUUAUAUAAGUGUGAAAAUUUCUUGAUUGAUUGAUUUUAUUUUUUUCGAAUUUACUAACAAAAGAUAUUCUCUUUUCUUUAUUUGUCUGACCCAUUCACUAUACAAACCCGCCUCUCCUUUCAUUGAGGGACAAGUUCACACGGCUUAAGUUUCACAAUUCAUAAUCACUACUCUCUUAACUAAAAUUAUUGGCUACUUUCAUACAAAAAUAAUUAGAUACUUUAAAGGUUCUUUGGUUCUCCUGCAAGGCUGCUGAAAAACACUUUGCGUAUUUCACUAUUACAAUUUGCUUGGGUUGUAUUACUCUUAUUAUCUAUUUUACUGUUGGUAAGUUCACGAAUCGACGCAAUUAUUUUAUUCUCUGUGUAUGUGUUGACUACAUGAUGGUUUUAGGAACAUGCCUAUAAGAAUAUUUCGAUGUUUGUUCUUGUUUUUAUGCUAUUAUGUAUUGUUUCGCAGGCCUAAUUCGACACGAGAUUUUGAAGAGUCGCCCGGAGAUAGGGAGAGGAUUGUUGUUUAAUUCUCUUCUUUAAUCUGGCUAUCACUUAUGUUGUAAUACCCUCUGUAAAAUGUUAUUAUUAAUGUAAUAAUAAUUUGGGGACUACUUUGGGGGGCGAGGACUUACGUGAACUAUGAAUGGCAUAGAUAGACACAACGUAGGUUUUACGUGUAUUACAUGCUACGUGGAUCAUUUAGGCACAAACUUAGGAUUUAUUAAUAUGCAAAUCAUUAUCCACGGUUUAUUAAAUAUCCCUAAAAAUCGUCAUACUAAACUAUUUGACAUCAAGCAUAUUAGCAUAUUGA
rnacentral:lncRNA from 1 species